rnacentral:rRNA from 1 species
AUUGAACGCUGGCGGAAUGCUUUACACAUGCAAGUCGAACGGCAGCACGGACUUCGGUCUGGUGACGAGUGGCGAACGGGUGAGUAAUACAUCGGAACGUGCCCAAUCGUGGGGGAUAACGUAGCGAAAGCUACGCUAAUACCGCAUACGAUCUAAGGAUGAAAGCGGGGGAUCGCAAGACCUCGCGCGAUUGGAGCGGCCGAUGGCAGAUUAGGUAGUUGGUAGGGUAAAGGCCUACCAAGCCGACGAUCUGUAGCUGGGCUGAGAGGAUGGUCAGCCACACUGGGACUGAGACACGGCCCAGACUCCUACGGGAGGCAGCAGUGGGGAAUUUUGGACAAUGGACGCAAGUCUAAUCCAGCCAUUCCGCGUGCAGGAUGAUGGCCCUCGGGUUGUAAACUGCUUUUGUACAGAACGAAAAGGCUCUGGUUAAUACCUAGGGCUCAUGACGGUACUGUAAGAAUAAGCACCGGCUAACUACGUGCUAGCCGCCGCCGUAA